rnacentral:lncRNA from 1 species
GCACAAGUACGACCAGCCAGGUGUGUCCGCAUGUUGAGUGGUCUAUGCGCAGGAGGUGAGGAAUGGGCAAGGUGCAUCGCACUAUGUCAUGUUGUCUGCCAAGCGGCAUGAGUGCAUGUCCUAGUACCCCUAUGCAAGUAGGACAGCAUGCUUGAGGCACGUUGCUUGCAUGGCGUGCUACGCUGCACCAUUCUACUUUG